UAGGGAAUCUUCGGCAAUGGGGGGAACCCUGACCGAGCAACGCCGCGUGAGUGAAGAAGGUUUUCGGAUUGUAAAGCUCUGUUGUUAAGGAAGAACGAGUGUGAGAAUGGAAAGUUCAUGCUGUGACGGUACUUAACCAGAAAGGGACGGCUAACUACGUGCCAGCAGCCGCGGUAAUACGUAGGUCCCGAGCGUUGUCCGGAUUUAUUGGGCGUAAAGCGAGCGCAGGCGGUUAGAAAAGUCUGAAGUGAAAGGCAGUGGCUCAACCAUUGUAGGCGUUGGAAACUGGUGAACUGGAGUGCAGAAGGGGAGAGUGGAAUUCCAUGUGUAGCGGUGAAAUGCGUAGAUAUAUGGAGGAACACCGGUGGCGAAAGCGGCUCUCUGGUCUGUAACUGACGCUGAGGCUCGAAAGCGUGGGGAGCGAACAGG
rnacentral:rRNA from 1 species